GUGGUUGUGGCUCAGCGGUAGAGCACUCGCCUAGCAUGUGCAAGGCCCUGGGUUCGAUCUUCAGCACCACA
rnacentral:tRNA from 1 species